rnacentral:rRNA from 1 species
UACGUAGGGGGCGAGCGUUGUCCGAAGUUACUGGGCGUAAAGCGCGCGUAGGCGGCUCUUUAAGUGGCCGGUGAAAUCCCCGGGCUCAACCCGGGGUGGUCUGGUCAUACUGGGGAGCUGGAGUGUGGGAGAGGAGAGUGGAACUCCUGGUGUAGCGGUGAUAUGCGUAGAGAUCAGGAAGAACACCCGUGGCGAAGGCGGCUCUCUGGACCACAACUGACGCUGAGGCGCGAAAGCCAGGGGAGCGAAC